AGACCCGAAACCCGGUGAUCUAGCCAUGGGCAGGUUGAAGGUUGGGUAACACUAACUGGAGGACCGAACCGACUAAUGUUGAAAAAUUAGCGGAUGACCUGUGGCUGGGGGUGAAAGGCCAAUCAAACCGGGAGAUAGCUGGUUCUCCCCGAAAGCUAUUUAGGUAGCGCCUCGUGAAUUCAUCUCCGGGGGUAGAGCACUGUUUCGGCUAGGGGGCCAUCCCGGCUUACCAACCCGAUGCAAACUGCGAAUACCGGAGAAUGUUAUCACGGGAGACACACGGCGGGUGCUAACGUCCGUCGUGAAGAGGGAAACAACCCAGACCGCCAGCUAAGGUCCCAAAGUCAUGGUUAAGUGGGAAACGAUGUGGGAAGGCCCAGACAGCCAGGAUGUUGGCUUAGAAGCAGCCAUCAUUUAAAGAAAGCGUAAUAGCUCACUGGUCGAGUCGGCCUGCGCGGAAGAUGUAACGGGGCUAAACCAUGCACCGAAGCUGCGGCAGCGAACGUAUCACCCAAGACAACUUUACGGAGUUGACGAUUGACGGAGCGAAGCGACGUCAAAGCGUUCAUUAAAGUCGAGUUGGCUUAGGGAUACGUUCGUUGGGUAGGGGAGCGUUCUGUAAGCCUGUGAAGGUGUGUCGUGAGGCAUGCUGGAGGUAUCAGAAGUGCGAAUGCUGACAUAAGUAACGAUAAAGCGGGUGAAAAGCCCGCUCGCCGGAAGACCAAGGGUUCCUGUCCAACGUUAAUCGGGGCAGGGUGAGUCGACCCCUAAGGCGAGGCCGAAAGGCGUAGUCGAUGGGAAACGGGUUAAUAUUCCCGUACUUGGUGUUACUGCGAAGGGGGGACGGAGAAGGCUAUGUUGGCCGGGCGACGGUUGUCCCGGUUUAAGCGUGUAGGUGUGUGUUCCAGGUAAAUCCGGUUCACUUUAACACUGAGGCGUGACGACGAGGCACUACGGUGCUGAAGCAACAAAUGCCCUGCUUCCAGGAAAAGCCUCUAAGCAUCAGGUAACACGAAAUCGUACCCCAAACCGACACAGGUGGUCAGGUAGAGAAUACCAAGGCGCUUGAGAGAACUCGGGUGAAGGAACUAGGCAAAAUGGUGCCGUAACUUCGGGAGAAGGCACGCUGACACGUAGGUGAAGUGAUUUACUCAUGGAGCUGAAGUCAGUCGAAGAUACCAGCUGGCUGCAACUGUUUAUUAAAAACACAGCACUGUGCAAACACGAAAGUGGACGUAUACGGUGUGACGCCUGCCCGGUGCCGGAAGGUUAAUUGAUGGGGUCAGCGUAAGCGAAGCUCCUGAUCGAAGCCCCGGUAAACGGCGGCCGUAACUAUAACGGUCCUAAGGUAGCGAAAUUCCUUGUCGGGUAAGUUCCGACCUGCACGAAUGGCGUAAUGAUGGCCAGGCUGUCUCCACCCGAGACUCAGUGAAAUUGAACUCGCUGUGAAGAUGCAGUGUACCCGCGGCAAGACGGAAAGACCCCGUGAACCUUUACUAUAGCUUGACACUGAACAUUGAGCCUUGAUGUGUAGGAUAGGUGGGAGGCUUUGAAGUGUGGACGCCAGUCUGCAUGGAGCCGACCUUGAAAUACCACCCUUUAAUGUUUGAUGUUCUAACGUGGACCCGUAAUCCGGGUUGCGGACAGUGUCUGGUGGGUAGUUUGACUGGGGCGGUCUCCUCCUAAAGAGUAACGGAGGAGCACGAAGGUUGGCUAAUCCUGGUCGGACAUCAGGAGGUUAGUGCAAUGGCAUAAGCCAGCUUGACUGCGAGCGUGACGGCGCGAGCAGGUGCGAAAGCAGGUCAUAGUGAUCCGGUGGUUCUGAAUGGAAGGGCCAUCGCUCAACGGAUAAAAGGUACUCCGGGGAUAACAGGCUGAUACCGCCCAAGAGUUCAUAUCGACGGCGGUGUUUGGCACCUCGAUGUCGGCUCAUCACAUCCUGGGGCUGAAGUAGGUCCCAAGGGUAUGGCUGUUCGCCAUUUAAAGUGGUACGCGAGCUGGGUUUAGAACGUCGUGAGACAGU
rnacentral:rRNA from 1 species